ACAGAGAGUAGCUUGCUACUUUGCUGACGAGUGGCGGACGGGUGAGUAAUGUCUGGGGAUCUGCCUGAUGGAGGGGGAUAACUACUGGAAACGGUAGCUAAUACCGCAUAAUGUCGCAAGACCAAAGCGGGGGACUUUCGGGCCUCGCACCAUCAGAUGAACCCAGAUGGGAUUAGCUAGUAGGUANGGUAAUGGCUUACCUAGGCGACGAUCCCUAGCUGGUCUGAGAGGAUGACCAGCCACACUGGAACUGAGACACGGUCCAGACUCCUACGGGAGGCAGCAGUGGGGAAUAUUGCACAAUGGGCGCAAGCCUGAUGCAGCCAUGCCGCGUGUAUGAAGAAGGCCUUCGGGUUGUAAAGUACUUUCAGUCAGGAGGAAGGGUGUGAAAUUAAUACUUUCAUGCAUUGACGUUACUGACAGAAGAAGCACCGGCUAACUCCGUGCCAGCAGCCGCGGUAAUACGGAGGGUGCAAGCGUUAAUCGGAAUUACUGGGCGUAAAGCGCACGCAGGCGGUUUGUUAAGUCAGAUGUGAAAUCCCCGGGCUCAACCUGGGAACUGCAUUUGAAACUGGCAAGCUUGAGUCUUGUAGAGGGGGGUAGAAUUCCAGGUGUAGCGGUGAAAUGCGUAGAGAUCUGGAGGAAUACCGGUGGCGAAGGCGGCCCCCUGGACAAAGACUGACGCUCAGGUGCGAAAGCGUGGGGAGCAACAGGAUUAGAUACCCUGGUAGUCCACCCCUUAAACGAUGUCCACUUUGAGGCUGUUCCCUUGAGAGUGGCUUCCCGGAGCUAACGCGUUAA
rnacentral:rRNA from 1 species